GUGGGGAAUAUUGGACAAUGGGGGGAACCCUGAUCCAGCCAUGCCGCGUGUGUGAAGAAGGCCUUUUGGUUGUAAAGCACUUUAAGCGAGGAGGAGGCUACCGAGAUUAAUACUCUUGGAUAGUGGACGUUACUCGCAGAAUAAGCACCGGCUAACUCUGUGCCAGCAGCCGCGGUAAUACAGAGGGUGCAAGCGUUAAUCGGAUUUACUGGGCGUAAAGCGCGCGUAGGUGGCCAAUUAAGUCAAAUGUGAAAUCCCCGAGCUUAACUUGGGAAUUGCAUUCGAGACUGGUUGGCUAGAGUAUGGGAGAGGAUGGUAGAAUUCCAGGUGUAGCGGUGAAAUGCGUAGAGAUCUGGAGGAAUACCGAUGGCGAAGGCAGCCAUCUGGCCUAAUACUGACACUGAGGUGCGAAAGCAUGGGGAGCAAACAGGAUUAGAAACCCUUGUAGUCC
rnacentral:rRNA from 1 species